GAAAUGCGAUAAGUAAUGUGAAUUGCAGAAUUCAGUGAAUCAUCGAAUCUUUGAACGCACAUUGCGCCCGCCAGUAUUCUGGCGGGCAUGCCUGUCCGAGCGUCAUUUCAACAUCAAGCCCCCGGGCUUGUGUUGGGGACCUGCGGCUGCCCGCAGGCCCUGAAAACCAGUGGCGGGCUCGCUGUCACACCGAGCGUAGUAGCAAUCACCUCGCUCAGGGCGUGCUGCGGAUUCCGGCCGUUAAACAGCCUUACAAAACCCAAGGUUGACCUCGGAUCAGGUAGGAAGACCCGCUGAACUUAAGC
rnacentral:misc_RNA from 1 species